GUUACGAGGACGCGCGUCCCGGAGCCGAACCGCCGAGGUCAGCGCAGCCCCCAGCGCCCCAGGGACCCGACCUCGACGUGACCCAGCGCUGCACCCAGCGCCCAAGGCCCGGCUCCUCCAGGGCACUCGGUCUUCACGAGCAGAGAUAAUGAGAUCAUGCGUACUGAAUAAUGGCACCGAAGACUACAACAAAUCUUGUGAAAACUGAAGCUCUAUCAAAGAGACCAUCGGAAUGUGUCACCGCGGCUUUGGUAACUGGAAGGAGAGCGGGUGUCGCGCGCUGUGUCGUCUGGUUUCCUACGCUUACAUAGCCUGCGUCUCCUGUCCUGCUUCUCAAGCUGCAGUAGGUGGCGGUGGGACCGAGGGCGCUCUAAGACCAAAAUAAACAUGAAUAUCUCAACGUGUGACUGCGCUCCACUCACGCUGCUCCCUGUGAUGAUGUGAGAUGCUGAGAUGCCUGUAUGGUGAGGGGCAGUGAGGGUGUCAGGCUGGUGCUGGUCUUCUGACGAGAAAGAAGUCAGAAGGAGGGUCAUCUGCUUCCAGACUAGGUCGACCGCGGGUAACUGAGACCGUGGACGGCGAAGGCGUGGAUAAGAUGAGGAAACCUCAUAAGGCGUGACAUAACUUGUCUUGGUGGCACCAUGGGUUAAGUUCAGGAUGUUGAAUCAAAUCCCAAAUGGCUGAGUCCAAAGUCCAUGGCCUGUUCUUCUCUGCUGUACUCCCUUCACGACAUAAAUGAAUCGCAAGGAUCCUGGGUUAUCCUGCUCAACUGUCUCGCUCACCCCUGUUUAGAGAGGUGGGUUCAGUGACUUCUGCUCACGCUGCACCGUAACCCUCUGCCUCCUCCUCCGCAGUAGCAUGGCCUACAAGACCCUGGCUGCUUUAUAAACCAGCCCAACGAGACUUCCCAAUUCAGCUCUCACCACUUCCAUUUCUUCUCUUUGUCCCCUCCACCCUUACCUCGUCCCGACAACCAUAUUCCCCAAAGAACAUUUAAUGUCAUGGGAGACUUUCAUGAUAUUAUCUUAAUUAUUUUUUCAAUGUCAAAUAAUAGGCAUAUUAUCCCAAUUUGGGAAGAUCAUAUUCAUGCACAUGAAAAGGCUGAAAGGAUGUACAUAAAAUACUAUCAAGGCCAUUUCAGGAAGAUUCUAUAAUAGGUGGCUUUUAUUUUCUUGUUUAUAUUUUCUGUGUUGCCCAGUGAUCAUCAAUAGAAAAUGUAUCACAACAAUAAAAAUUGACCAAGUGUUUACAAUAGCUGUUAUACCAGCAAUAGCAUGGUUAUCCAAUUCUAUAAAAUAGGAUUUCUUUUAUAAAACAGAAAAUAAAAUAAAUAAAAUAAAAUAAAUAAAAUAAAAUAAAUAAAAUAAAAUCAUAGCCAGAUUGCUGAGGUUGGGUGCAUCAUGGGUCCGAUGUCCAUCAGUAUUUAAGAUGAAAGCUGGAUCCGUUUUCACUGAGGUAGCAGCAGCUCCUCUGGUUGGUAGCAAGGGCGGCGGCAGACGGGCCUGAAGCCAGUCGUCUCUUGGUACUUCCUUGCGCUGACAAGGGUGAAAUCACAGCAUGUAUCUUAAUGCUCAGUCUCCCAACGGGGGCUCUGGGAAGUCUGUCUCAGCUGGAAGCUCUUUGCACAUGUCUCAGAAUCAUAAUGAAAAUAAUCUCCCUCCUGGAAAAUAGAUGCCUCUAAUGUAGAGGUCAUAUGUACAAAAGGAAAAAAAAUGGUGUCAUUAACCACCUUGACACCAGCCAAUUGAAUCCCUCUUAACCAUCAUAACAUCUUUUCUUCCUUCUUUCAACCUAAUGGUCUCUGGUUCAAAGAUCCGGGGCUCCCGGUGCCAUUGGAAGCGAUCUUAGAAACGUGUGAUUUACAUGCACCAAGGGUUUUAAUGCCAAUGAGCUCUAUAACAUAUCCUGAGAGAAACCAAAUUUCCAAAGUACUUUAAAAGAGCAACGACUUUGUUUCUCUUACUGAACUUAGUUUUAAUCUCUCUUGAUCUCGCUCUCAGAUUGACCUGGAACUACAUGCCUCAGGGAGCCGCUCCCAUGUGUUCCUCUCCUCCGCUUUCACUGCUGCCCUAGUCUGGCGUGAGCUCUGAAUCUCAGGGUCAGAAAAUUUUAGAAGGGACUUUUGGAUCCUCUGUCCUAGCGCCUCAUUCCAUGAUAGACGAGGAAACGGUAGCCCGUAAAAUUUAAGGGACCUACUCAGGGUGACAGAGAUGAAUUAGCAAGAAAGAAGGGUCAAGAUUUAAGUCUCCUGACUCCAAAUUGGGUGCUCCUUUCAUUAUACCACACGUUGUCUCAAAUGAGUCAAUAAAUUCUUUGUGAGGCAAAGACUUUUCAAACCAUGCGAGGGCAUGAGGGCAAACUUCCCUCUCAAGAAAGCCCGAGCCCUUUCAUCAGGGUUCUCUUUGAAGCUCAAGGUCACAGUUAACAGAAGUAUUUGUGAAACAUCUGCCAAUCCCUGAAUUUUACAUACAUCGUCUUUAAUCUUCAAAAUAACCUUCAAAGUAUCAAAAUCCUCGUUUUGCUGGUGAGGAGACCCGCUUUUUGAGAUUCUAAACCAAUUUGCUUAAGAUCGUAGAGCUGAAUCUAGCAGAGCCAGGAUUCACACCCAUGUCUUCAGUGCUUUCUACAAUAUGCUAGACUGCUUCUCCUUCCGUGACACCAGGUCUUAACUUUGGGGACAAAGUGAUGGAUCCAUGCUUCUUUUGAAGAGGCAGAAACAAUUUUGUGUAUGUACAGCCUGUCAAUCAUACCUCAAUAAAGUGGUUAAAAACAAAAAAACGAGUUACUCUUUUCGAUGAUCUCCGCUGUUGAAAUCUCAGGCAAAAACAGAAUUAGUGAAGGAAAAGCAGGGCAACAAACUGAGAUCCUGCUGUGACAUGGGGCAGUGACCAAUCUCCAUGCCAUGUACUUGGAACUUUCUGAGACAUACAGAAAGGGAGU